AGACUCAGGAGCCCAGCUGGCCUCACCCAGUGGAUCCCGCACCAGGGCCGCAGAUAAGAAGUGACUUUCGCCCUCUGCCAUGAUUGUGAGACCUCCUCAGCCACGUGGAACUUCUUUGAGUAUGCUCAGCGCGUGCCAUCAUGGGGCCAUGUUCUUCCCCUUUGCUCUUGGAGAAUAGACAAAGCUACCCAGCCCAGCCACAGCCUCAUAAUCUUGUUCUACCUCCCUCUCCAGCCUCAACUAUUUCCAGGCUCCAGCUCAAGUCAUACAUCAGGAUGGCUUUUCUAUGCAGAUAACUUGACACACAGAGCCCAACUUUGGUCCUGAAUUCUGAGAACCACAGUUCAGAAUAGACGCUAAAACGUCUCAAUGUUAGCAGCCUUCCCCUAUGACUUUAUGAAGUGCAGCCCUACAGGAGAACUCAGGAAGCCACAUCUUCCAUCUGUCACCUUCUGACUGUUGAUCCUGUGAGUUCACAGGCCAGGGGGAUGCUGGUGAGGACCCUUUUCACUGGGACUCCCAGGUGUUCCUGACAGAGACAGACUUGGAGACACCAGUAGUCUGGUGAGAAAGGGGCUUAAUGUCAUGAAGUAUUAAAAAAUCUAAUAUAUUCAAAAAUUUACGAGAGAAUAUUUUGGAAGGAAACUUCAAGAAAUGUAGAAGAGAGGGAGAAGAAAGAAUCUCUGAAAGUCACCUCUUUGGGUGGAAUUUUCUCAUUUCUAUAUUUGUGGUCACCAUUGUAUACUGGUAACAAGAUUUCUUGCCAUAAAAAUUUCUCAGAUGGUGAAA
ensembl:lncRNA LINC00508 long intergenic non-protein coding RNA 508